UUGAUACAAACCACUCUCUGGGUAUCUCGGUGGUCGAGGGGAAAAAAAUGGAUCGUGCUCUUACGAAUCUCAGGACCUAGAUGUACCACGUGUAAAGCCUUAGUGUUUCUUUCUAUAGUUCCUGUAUCCUAACAAGGCGGUGAACUUCAUAAACUUAUAACCUUCACGAUUUCGUAUAAGUUUACAAAUAUCUUAAGGUUCUAGAUAUCCUUUUAAUUUUCCAAAUGUCUGAAACCUCUAUUCUUACUGUCUAUAUAGUUGUUAUGGUUUACUCUAAACAUUGGAAGUCUCAGAGGCAUCGUAGGCCACAUUCUUUUGUGUAACCAGGAUAGAACCAGAAGUCGGGAGAUACCCCACGAACUACCUGUACUACAUAGUAGUCUACUAAUGAGCAUUAAGAGUACUUUUUCGAAACUUCAGUGCGUACGGAACGAAAUCCGUAACCAGUUAUAUGUUUCCACAUUCACACGGCUCUCCCUAAUCGUUCAAUGUUCUCAAUGUUUGUGAUCUCCAACACCUGUAGUUUGCCUCACUACGGUUACGUUAAUUUCUCGAACCACUCGAACACGUCGAUUUUUUUGAACCCCACCAUUGCUUUCUCCGGUGGCUCGUCUUUACGUUCAAUGAAACACGUCGAUAGCUCUUCGAGUGAAGGGACAUGAGAGAAUUACACCUACGCCUGAUAGUACCGAGAGACCUCACCGACGUAAGACAAAGAAGAGGAGGGGAUGGGUACUCCUCAGAGUUCGACCAACCCGCAGAACCUCUUUACGGUCUGACCUAACCUUCAAACUGUGUAAAUCACUUCUAAAUAGAUCCCGUAUCGCUCGACUUUCCACUAUUUUGGUACCUUGAUGAUCCGUGUGACGGGUUUGAAUACGAGGAACCAGAAGCAGUCUUACGUAUACAACCCUUCUCAGAUCAGAAACCUCGUUCUCGUAAGGGUUUAGAGUCCCUUGAUCUAUAAAAAAUGGGCCUAGCUCACUCUCUCCACUAUAAGCUUCUCCUGUGGAGCAUGGUCAACCGUUUCUAUGUUAAGGCACCGCCGGCUACACACCUUAAAUAACCGUAGUUUGUAGAGGGUUCCCAGUUCCUCUAAAGUGAACCAAACCCCCGAUCUCACCGCUUCGAACCACUGGACGUUCCCCUUCACCUCCGUGUGGGGUUGGUAGGGCACGACGCUGAUCACCUCCUGACCUCGUACGUAUUGUAGCUGGGGAGACUUGUACUUCGCGACCUCCUUCUUAACCGAUUAAAAGCCUCCGUCGUAGUCGUCCUCUCUAGGUGAUUAUUAGCGUUCACCACCGGUACCGCUGUUGCUCGCGUUAGUCAAAAAUAAAAGGUGGUGUAGGUUCCGAGGUUACAUCUUCUACUACCUCUACUAAAGAAGAGAACGUGAAGAGUACUGCUUCUACGAACGACUUCUAUGUUGAGUACCACGUAACGGAAUAUAUAACCAAGUCUUUGAUGUGGAUAACAACUUCCGUUGACUGUUCCUAGGUUUGCCCGCUUCGAACCUCUUUUACGGUAUCUGAUGGGGUGUAUUCUACGAUGAUGCAUGAUGUUUUGACGCAUACAACAAUACGACGUGAACCUGUAGUGCAAGUUGAAGGAAUGUUCAAAGUCCAACUAAUAGAGGAGAGACUGCAAUAUGUCCAUGGUGAGUUUAGAACAAAAUGAACCCCCUACUAACCAUGGCUGCUCUCUACCUUGCCAGGAAUCUAAGGUCAAGUCACAACACCACAAUGAACAAUCCACGUAACGAUAAAGUGGGCGUUUUUUUCGCCUCUUCUACACCGAUAUGUUAUGUGAUAUGAUAUGUUCUACGAUGACGAUUCGACGUAUAUAACAAUAAGACGUUAACCAGUAGUCCAACUUGGAACGUUCAAACGACGAUCAAUGGAGGACUACAAAAAUGCCAGGUUUACCUUCUCCUCACUGUGUAUAGAACACCCAUAGCCACCUUGUCUCCGCUCGUUCUAGAGACUAGCUUUCAUGUUCACCGUUGUUGACUGGGUUUAUUAACAUUUAACAAACCUUUUCUAGUACCUUGCCUACUAGUUAGACUACUCUUCUGGACGUUAGCACUUAUGUCUCAUGAACGAAAGAAAUGAUCGAUCUCAUAAAUUCAUGGGCGUUGGACAUAACCACCAUGUGGUAGCACGUUUGGAUUUCGAUAUAACAUAACGAUUAACCCCACAUUUAAUAAACGACAUGUAGUAGCAAUCACACAACACUCUUGUGGCGGCCCGUUCGGAAGCA
rnacentral:rRNA from 1 species